AUUUUUUUUUAUUUUUGAAUAUCAAUUUGAAUGUUUGUGUGUGCAUAGAGUUGGUGCAUGUGGAUGCACAUAAUAUUUAAAUAAUCGUCAAUAAAUUUCGUUAAGCCCUGGUGGUAUUUCUUGAUUAAUCAUGUUCAAGUCUCCCAUCACUAGGAACCAUUUUAUUUAUUAGUUUUAUAUACUGUGCUGUGAUAUGUUUAUGAUAUUCAAUUUGUCGUUUGGAAA
rnacentral:misc_RNA from 1 species